rnacentral:rRNA from 1 species
AGCUGGCGGCAGGCCUAACACAUGCAAGUCGAGCGGUAACAGAGAGUAGCUUGCUACUUUGCUGACGAGCGGCGGACGGGUGAGUAAUGCUUGGGAAUAUGCCUUUUGGUGGGGGACAACAGUUGGAAACGACUGCUAAUACCGCAUGAUGUCUACGGACCAAAGUGGGGGACCUUCGGGCCUCACGCCAAAAGAUUAGCCCAAGUGGGAUUAGCUAGUUGGUAAGGUAAUGGCUUACCAAGGCAACGAUCCCUAGCUGGUUUGAGAGGAUGAUCAGCCACACUGGGACUGAGACACGGCCCAGACUCCUACGGGAGGCAGCAGUGGGGAAUAUUGCACAAUGGGCGCAAGCCUGAUGCAGCCAUGCCGCGUGUGUGAAGAAGGCCUUCGGGUUGUAAAGCACUUUCAGUCAGGAGGAAAGGGUGUGUUUUAAUAGAGCAUAUCUGUGACGUUACUGACAGAAGAAGCACCGGCUAACUCCGUGCCAGCAGCCGCGGUAAUACGGAGGGUGCGAGCGUUAAUCGGAAUUACUGGGCGUAAAGCGUACGCAGGCGGUUUGUUAAGCGAGAUGUGAAAGCCCCGGGCUCAACCUGGGAACUGCAUUUCGAACUGGCAAACUAGAGUGUGAUAGAGGGUGGUAGAAUUUCAGGUGUAGCGGUGAAAUGCGUAUAGAUCUGAAGGAAUACCGAUGGCGAAGGCAGCCACCUGGGGUCAACACUGACGCUCAUGUACGAAAGCGUGGGGAGCAAAACAGGGAUUAGAUACCCUGGGUAGUCCACGCCGUAAACGAUGUCUACUAAAACCUCGGAGCCUCGGUUCUGGUUUUUCACAAGCUCACG